rnacentral:pre_miRNA from 1 species
AAUACCUCAGUCUUAUCAGGUGUCCUACAAAAUUACCUGGAAAUACUGAGGUUGAGU